UACGUAGGUGGCAAGCGUUAUCCGGAUUUACUGGGUGUAAAGGGCGUGUAGGCGGGACUGCAAGUCAGAUGUGAAAACCAUGGGCUCAACCUGUGGCCUGCAUUUGAAACCGUAGUUCUUGAGUACUGAAGAGGCAGACGGAAUUCCUAGUGUAGCGGUGAAAUGCGUAGAUAUUAGGAGGAACACCAGUGGCGAAGGCGGUCUGCUGGACAGCAACUGACGCUGAGGCGCGAAAGCGUGGGGAGCAAACAGG
rnacentral:rRNA from 1 species